UACGUAGGGUGCGAGCGUUAAUCGGAAUUACUGGGCGUAAAGCGUGCGCAGGCGGCGCGUUAAGACAGGUGUGAAAGCCCCGAGCUUAACUUGGGAAUUGCGCUUGUGACUGGCGUGCUGGAGUGUGGCAGAGGGAGGUGGAAUUCCACGUGUAGCAGUGAAAUGUGUAGAUAUCGGGAGGAACACCUGUGGCGAAAGCGGCUCACUGGACAGUAACUGACGCUGAUGCACGAAAGCUAGGGGAGCAAACAGG
rnacentral:rRNA from 1 species